UACAGAGGGGGCGAGCGUUGUUCGGAAUUACUGUGCGUAAAGGGCGCGUAGGCGGCCCGCUAAGUCGAACGUGAAAUCCCCAGGCUCAACCUGGGAACUGCGUCCGAUACUGGCAGGCUUGAAUCCGGGAGAGGGAUGUGGAAUUCCAGGUGUAGCGGUGAAAUGCGCAGAUAUCAGGAGGAACACCGGUGGCGAAGGCGGGUCUCUGGGCCGUAACUGACGCUGAGGAGCGAAAGCGUGGGGAGCGAACAGG
rnacentral:rRNA from 1 species